rnacentral:rRNA from 1 species
CCUACGGGAGGCAGCAGUGGGGAAUAUUGGACAAUGGGGGGAACCCUGAUCCAGCGACGCCGCGUGAGUGAAGAAGUAUUUCGGUAUGUAAAGCUCUAUCAGCAGGGAAGAAAGAAAUGACGGUACCUGACUAAGAAGCCCCGGCUAACUACGGGCCAGCAGCCGCGGGAAUACGUCGGUGGCAAGCGUUAUCCGGAUUUACUGGGUGUAAAGGGAGCGUAGACGGCAAGGCAAGUCUGGAGUGAAAGCCCGUGGCGCAACCAAGGGACUGGAUUGGAAACUGUUUGGCUGGAGUGCAGGGGGGGUAAGUGGAAUUCCUAGUGUAGCGGUGAAAUGCGUAGAUAGUAGGAGGAACACCGGUGGCGAAGGCGGCUUACUGGACUGUAACUGACGUUGAGGCUCGAAGGCGUGGGGAGCAAACAGGAUUAGAUACCCGAGUAGUC